UUUCUGUAGUAUCUGCUGUGCAACUGCUUUUAAGUUUGUUGCUCGAAGAACGUGCAAUUGUAUUCCAGAAAGCCAGUUGUAUCCUGGCUGCAUCCUCACAGCGUGGCCAGGAAGUUGAGGGAGAUGAUUGUCCCCCUCUGCUCUGAGAGGCAUUCAUGCUCUCCCACAGUGGUGCAGGGAACUGCUGGCUUGAAGAUGGAGAAAACUAAGGUGAAAGGAGUUAGAAGUGGAGAUUCUGGAAUAUCAUUUUUAUGUCAUCCCACAAAAAUUAGGAUGAAUUCAAAGAGAUCACAUACAAUUACAGCAUGGUGACCUAACUCUGGGAAUCAUCAAGGAACAGGAGAACAACAGAGAACUGAUCACUUACAAUUCUUUAUUGAUCCUGUGUUUUGCCAACACCAACCACCUCUUCCCAGUGAAAACAAUAAUCACCAAUCCUGCAUUGUAGGAGGCCUGGAUGAAGUUGGGAAUAUGAAUGAGUGGUAGAACAAAGCACCAAUAAAGCAAAUAACUGGAUAAACU